rnacentral:rRNA from 1 species
AUUGAACGCUGGCGGCAGGCCUAACACAUGCAAGUCGAGCGAGUGGCGGACGGGUGAGUAAUGUAUGGGGACUGCCCGAUAGAGGGGGAUAACUACUGGAAACGGUAGCUAAUACCGCAUACUAUCGGAUAACCCAUAUGGGAUUAGCUAGUAGGUGAGGUAAUGGCUCACCUAGGCGACGAUCCCUAGCUGGUCUGAGAGGAUGAUCAGCCACACUGGGACUGAGACACGGCCCAGAUUCCUACGGAGGCAGCAGUGGGGAAUAUUGCACAAUGGGCGCAAGCCUGAUACAGCCAUGCCGCGGGUGUGAAGAAGGCCCUAGGGUUGUAAAGUACUUUCAGUCGGGAGGCGUUAACGACAGAAGAAGCAACGGCUAACUCCGUGCCAGCCGCCGCGGUAAUAC